GACGAACGCUGGCGGCGUGCUUUACACAUGCAAGUCGAACGGUGAAGGUGGAGCUUGCUCCGCCGGAUCAGUGGCGAACGGGUGAGUAACACGUGGGCAACCUGCCCCUAACUUUGGGAUAACUACUCGAAAGAGUAGCUAAUACCGGAUACGAAGUCUGUAGGCAUCUACGGAUUUGGAAAGUUUUUCGGUUAGGGAUGGGCCCGCGGCCUAUCAGCUUGUUUGUGAGGUAGUGGCUCACCAAGGCGACGACGGGUAGCCGGCCUGAGAGGGCGACCGGCCACACUGGGACUGAGACACGGCCCAGACUCCUACGGGAGGCAGCAGUGGGGAGUAUUGCGCAAUGGGCGAAAGCCUGACGCAGCAACGCCGCGUGCGGGAUGAAGGCCUUCGGGUUGUAAACCGCUUUCAGCAGGGAAGAAGCGAAAGUGACGGUACCUGCAGAGGAAGCACCGGCUAACUACGUGCCAGCCGCCGCCGUAA
rnacentral:rRNA from 1 species